rnacentral:rRNA from 1 species
UACAGAGACUGCAAGCGUUAUUCGGAUUCACUGGGCGUAAAGGGUGCGCAGGCGGCCGAGUGUGUGAGGCGUGAAAGCCCGGGGCUUAACCCCGGAAUUGCACCUCAAACUACACGGCUAGAGCAUUGGAGAGGGUAGCAGAAUUCACGGUGUAGCAGUGAAAUGCGUAGAUAUCAUGAGGAAUACCAGAGGCGAAGGCGGCUACCUGGACAAUUGCUGACGCUCAGGCACGAAAGCGUGGGGAGCAAAAGGG